UACGUAGGUGGCGAGCGUUAUCCGGAUUUACUGGGUGUAAAGGGUGCGUAGGCGGCCCUGUAAGUCAGGUGUGAAAUCCCACGGCUCAACCGUGGAACUGCGCUUGAAACUACAGGGCUUGAGGGAGAUAGGGGUGAGCGGAACUGAUGGUGGAGCGGUGAAAUGCGUUGAUAUCAUCAGGAACACCGGUGGCGAAGGCGGCUCACUGGGUCUCUUCUGACGCUGAGGCACGAAAGCUAGGGGAGCGAACGGGAUUAGAUACCCGGGUAGUCCCU
rnacentral:rRNA from 1 species